rnacentral:lncRNA from 1 species
UAAUAGAAAACUUGCUAAAGUGCAGUGGAGUCUUAGCCUAAGGCUUCGUUUAGAAUUACGGGGAGAUUGCGUUAUGUGCGGUGAGAAACUACGAUAAGAAAAUACCUUGUUUGUUUCCGUACGUAAUAUUACGUUCCGCAUAUUACGAUGAGUCGGUUAUAAUAUAUUUUCUGCGGUCCCAUCGGAGAACGCAGAAACAUAUCACUGUAUAUUUUUUUUCUAACUCCAUUUUAUCUAAUAGCCUCAGAUAGAUCUCAAUACCAAACUAAGCCUAAGCCUUUGGAAACUUUUCUAGCUAGUCUUUAUUUUUGUUCCAUGCAAAAUAAAGCUUAGAUAACCACAAAUUAAUAAACAAC